UACGGAGGGAGCUAGCGUUAUUCGGAAUUACUGGGCGUAAAGCGCACGUAGGCGGCUUUGUAAGUAAGAGGUGAAAGCCUGGUGCUCAACACCAGAACUGCCUUUUAGACUGCAUCGCUUGAAUCAUGGAGAGGUGAGUGGAAUUCCGAGUGUAGAGGUGAAAUUCGUAGAUAUUCGGAAGAACACCAGUGGCGAAGGCGGCUCACUGGACAUGUAUGACGCUGAGGUGCGAAAGCGUGGGGAGCA
rnacentral:rRNA from 1 species